GUUUUAUCAUUAUUGGAAUGGCUCUUAGCUGAAGCUUCUCUCUUCUCUGAAGCUUAAAAAACAUUAUUCUGAAGACUGAACAACAAGGGAAGAGGUAUAAAACUUUGUCAAGCUUGUUAAGGAGCAAUGGCUACUAUCCAGCUAUCCCAACAUUGUUCCUCUUGGCUAUACUAACGGACGAGACUGGACAGUUUAAGGUAAGGGUUUAACCGUGUUUGGUUUCUUUAAUAUUGUCCUAUACUUACAGGACUGGAGUAUGACCUGCUCGUUCGAGUGUUGCUGGGUAGCUCAGAGGCAUCAAGAGAAUCUACGUUUUCUCAAACAAAGUUUAACUGAGUUACGAGUUGGGGCCUAGAAUCAGAGAAGUCCAGCAGCCUGCUAAAUCGUUGAAACGUAAUUUGAAGGCAUUCAAUCAUCUUGAAGUUGCCCUGGGUCACUGUAAUCGUGCUGCAGCACAACUGGCAACUCCCUAGGCCCUUGUGAAGCAGCUCCCUAUGUGCAUCUUUUGUGUACUCACUCUGUGCAUUUUCUGUGUACAAAUUUCGAUUAUUGAUUUAUUAAAUA